ACGCUAGCGAUAGGCUUAACACAUGCAAGUCGAGGGGCAGCAUGGUCUUAGCUUGCUAAGACUGAUGGCGACCGGCGCACGGGUGCGUAACGCGUAUGCAACUUGCCUCACAGAGGGGGAUAACCCGUCGAAAGACGGACUAAUACCGCGUACACUCCACUUUGGGCAUCCAAAGUAGAGGAAAUGAAAUUCGCUGUGAGAUAGGCAUGCGUCCCAUUAGCUAGUUGGUGAGGUAACGGCUCACCAAGGCGACGAUGGGUAGGGGAACUGAGAGGUUGAACCCCCACACUGGUACUGAGACACGGACCAGACUCCUACGGGAGGCAGCAGUGAGGAAUAUUGGUCAAUGGGCGAGAGCCUGAACCAGCCAAGUCGCGUGAAGGAUGACUGUCUUAUGGAUUGUAAACUUCUUUUAUACGGGAAUAACAAGAGCCACGUGUGGCUCCCUGCAUGUACCGUAUGAAUAAGCAUCGGCUAACUCCGUGCCAGCAGCCGCGGUAAUACGGAGGAUGCGAGCGUUAUCCGGAUUUAUUGGGUUUAAAGGGUGCGUAGGCGGCUUGUUAAGUCAGCGGUGAAAUCUAGGAGCUUAACUCCUAAAUUGCCAUUGAUACUGGCGGGCUUGAGUGUAGAUGAGGUAGGCGGAAUGCGUGGUGUAGCGGUGGAAUGCAUAGAUAUCACGCAGAACUCCGAUUGCGAAGGCAGCUUACUAAGGUACAACUGACGCUGAAGCACGAAAGCGUGGGUAUCAAACAGGAUUAGAUACCCUGGUAGUCCACGCAGUAAACGAUGAUAACUGGGCGUAUGCGAUAUACAGUAUGCUCCUAAGCGAAAGCGUUAAGUUAUCCACCUGGGGAGUACGCCGGCAACGGUGAAACUCAAAGGAAUUGACGGGGGCCCGCACAAGCGGAGGAACAUGUGGU
rnacentral:rRNA from 1 species